UGACGCCGAGUAGGGUGAGAGGAGGAGCUGCUUGUUCGGGCUCCCAGGUGUUUCCCAGUCCAGCUCGCUGAGCCUCCAGCUCUGACUGUGGCAUGUUCUUCAUUCCAGCUCUGGCUCUGAGAUGCUGCACUUGAUGGCUGCUCCAGUUCCUUCCAGCUCUGGGUAAAUAACUGGUGUGUCUUGUGUAAUCCGUGUCCUUGUUCUGUCCUUUGUGUCCAUCUGUGUUACCUUUGUCACAUCUCCAUGCUUUAUCAGCAUCCUUCCAAGCCAUGGUAGCCAGACUCUACUCGUGUACUUUCCUGCAUUGUGCUUAUUCCAGCACAUUUACCUUUUUACUUUUUGAGACAGAAAGAAGUACACAAGAUCUUCUCAUCCAUCUUCCUUCUCAGCUUUGGUAGUGCCUGCUUUUCACGUGCCAUUCUCUUGGCCUUCUGUAGGGAGUGUGUUAGACCCUCCUUAUGUGCCCUCACUAGUUCCAUAGGUUCUAUCUUGGGCUUGAGACUUAAUCCUCCAGAGAGUUAUCUCCAGUCCUCAUCCAUGGUGUGUGUACCUACCUUGGCUUAUACUGUAUGUAGCUGUCUUGGUUUAUGUUGCAUGUACCUUUACUGUGUGCAUCUCUACUGUAUGGGCCUUUAUUGUGCCCCUUAGCUCGGAGCUGCCCUGCCCUGGCACCCGCUUGGGUAGAAUAGUUACAGAACUUUAUUGUUCCUCUCUUUUCUGUGGGGUUUUGGGUAGGAAAUGUGUGGGGAUAACCUCUACCUGACCAGCUCCUGCUGUCUCUCAGGUCCCUGAGGUGGAUUCCCAUCUCUGCAGUCACCAAUUAUGCCGAUUUCCCUGGAAUCUCCCGUUGGGUGUUGAAGAGCAGCAGCCGGGGGAUGUGUUGAAGCAUCCUCUUCAUGCAGCGUUCCAAGUGAGGGUUGCAGUCAGCCUGUCAGCUGCAGAGUGUGACAGGGGGAGCGUGUGUCUGUCUGGAGAGUCUGUCUGUGUCUGUCUGCUUAUGUCUGCCUGUGCCAGUGUGUGUGCUGACUGCUUCUAACCUUGUGCAUAUGGUUUUUACCUUUUACCUUUCUCAACUCAUUUUUAAAUUUAGAAUAAAGAGUCCCCAGCCAGGAGUUUGGGUUUUUUUUCCCCCCAGCUGGAUUUUUUUCCUUGGUCCCAGCCAACAAGAUGACGUUCAUCCCCAGAGGUUGGGCAUGGACAGUCCCAGUACCAGGGUUUUGUCAGCAGGAUGGUUUUUGGGGCAUGGACAGUCGCAGUACCACGGUUUACUCAGCACGAUGGUUUUUGAGGCAUGGACAGUCCCAGUACCAGGGUUUUGUCAUCAGGAUGGGUUUUGAGGCAUGGACAGUCCCAGUACCAGGGUUCUGUCCGCAGGGAUGCCCGUGGCUCCUGGGCCAGGGGCUGCUCUGAACAGGCUCCUGGAGAUGCUUCAGCCUGGAUACAGGCCACUGACAGCCCAAAAGCAGCCCAAGGAGCAGCUGGCGUGUCCUGGUGAUGGUGGCACGGGCUGCGUGCAGAGGGGCUCAGACAGCAAUUCCUGGUUCCAGCCUCCCAGAGCUCCCAGGCAGCUGCCAGCUAUUAAAUGCCAACCGACAGCCUGCAGAGAUGCCUUCAAAUCAAAGGUUCAGGUGGGAUGAAGUUUUGUUUGGACGAAGGUGGGAGUUUCCAGGGAGCCAGCUGGAAGUGCAGAAGGGAUGGAAAGCUUUCCCAGGUGCUGGACUUGCCUCUGUGGAUGUGUGCUGAGCUCUCACUACAGGGGACUGUGAGGCCUGACUGGCUGUGAGUUUGUGUUCUUCUCACAGGGGAAUCAGAAAUGAUCAUUAAUUAGACCACAGAAAUCUUUUCUGAAACCUUUCCCCUUUCCUGCCCUUUGCUGGUAAGUCUUUUCUUUCUGCCUUUAACUCUACAGCUGUUCCCUGAUGUCAUUGCCCCAGUCUCACUUCUGUGCAGCUCCUAGCUGGGGAAAACUCAUAAUAGAGCUGGUAACAAGUAAGCACUUGUUUCUACACUUCUUUUUCCAAAACUUUCACCAGAACUGAAUUUCACUAGUUAGGAAGCGUGGUGAGGGGUGCAGGAGGAGCAGGAAUAGGGGAGGGAAGCCUUGAGCACUGCAGGCUACAAAGAUCUGCAUUUAUCAAUUUGAUUUAGUCCUGCUGUGUUAAGGAUACAUAAAUAGGCAAAAUCCAAGGCACAGGGUGAAGUUCCUGUGACAAUGCUACUGUGUGUUUAUCUUGAAUUACUCAGUGUGCCCCAUUUCCCUUUAAUAAGUGCUCUGAUACCCCUGUGGAAACAAACACAACAUGGGUGGGACAGUGCACCUCACAACUCCACAAAGAGUGGCACCUCCACCUCGUAUGGCAAUGCCAUUUUAGUACAGCCCAACUGUCUCACAGCAGAGGGCUGAAGGCCCCUGGGAAAACAA